rnacentral:lncRNA from 1 species
AUAUAUAUAGAUAUACAAAACGGGAUGGUAGGUCAACCCACUUUAUCUAAAGGUAAUAUCCAAAGUUGGGGACUUACGAUCGAACCUGAAACUAGUGGCACCAGUUAUGGGAAGACAAAACGAGGAAUCUUAGACGCUGUGUCAUAGUUAUAGUUACAUUAUUUACAUUUCGGCUGUACCUGUAACAUAAACCGUAUUUUCUCGUAUAUAACCCGCACCUCGGCAACAAUUCGCGGAAAGUUUUAUGAAAAUGAUGCCCACAUAUUGCUGUGAAACUCUGCCGUAAAGCCCUCUUUGCACACCAGAAAAACAUGCUUUUGUCUUGACUCUAGCUCCACAUUUUCAGCAUUUUCUGUGUUGGUUCCACACAAGCACUUACAGUCUGGUGCUGUCGUGGAACAUGACUUUCAACACGCUCUAUGCUGACAUCCAGACGUACCAACUUUAUGCUUACCAAGAAACCAACAGCCCUCCUGCUACAUCCCACUGGAAGAAAGUGGGUGAUGUGCGAGCAUUGCCACUGCCAAUGGCUUGCACGCUGACUCAGUUCAUCGAAGGACACAAGUACCACUUUGCUGUGCGGGCUGUCGAUGUCCACAACAGGCUUGGCCCAUUCAGUGAUCCAUCCAGCAUCCUACUGUAGUGAGGAAUGUUCAUUGGAACUCGUGGCUUGGCACAAGAAUCUAUUUUGCCUCAUGGGAAUCUGGUGUGAAUGGUGUAGUGCAUCAUCUGACCUCCUGGACAAAGCUUAGUCAUAAUUUGAAUGGCUAUGAUGUUCAUCUGCAAGUAAGAGCACUUUGAAUGUGUGUGAGUGUUGCGCUUAAUAUUUUCAAAAGCACCUGCAGACUUCAUGGCUUCAUCUGCUGGGAAAAAGUACCUCCUUACAAACAUUGCGUCUCUGGUAUGUCUGGACGAGUGGACUGCAUAUCUUCAUAUAAUAUACACCCUUAUGUAUCAAUAUGGUGGUGAUGAUACAUCCAGACUUACUUUCAUGGCCAGUCUUUUCAGACUUCGAAUUGUGCAUUGUAAUGUUAGAAACUUAAGUUUAAUUUUGUGUGGAGGAACAGCAUGCUGUAUGAAAUGCUGCACACAAAUAUGUUUGGAGCUGUGCUGGUGACAUAGCAUUGUCCUCGUGUCAACAUGGGAAAACUCGACUAGUCGAGUGAACAGAGGUACACAGAUUUCGGCACUGUUACCUACAUAGUACCUUCAAUUUAUUGUGUAUUUGUGGGUCUUAUGUGUGGAAUGCACAUAAAUAACUAGCCUUUGCAUAGGUGCAUCAUAUUGUCUACUCAGUUGCAUUUCUUUAGUUUUCAUGCCACCUUUAGCCUCUGGGAGAGAUCUUCAUCUAGUGCUUUCUUGAAGGAAGGCUGUUUUAGAUUGUUUUGUGAAAGAUGUACAAAGAUUCUACAUUUUCAUAAUAGAUCAGUCCUGCUCUAUGGAUUCAAUUGAGAGUUAAUGAGAGUUCCCAACAGUUUCAAAGUUUUUGUUUUAUGUAUUUCAUUGUAUGCACAAAUUAUUAUGCUGUAGAAGCUGUUAAAGUUUUUUCACUGCCCAUUGUUGAAUGAAAAGUAAAUAAAAUGCUCUCGGCAUCG